GCGCCCGUAGAUCAAUUGGAUAGAUCAUCUGUCUACGGAACAGAAGGUUAGAGGUUCAAAUCCUCUCGGGCGCGCCA
rnacentral:tRNA from 1 species